rnacentral:rRNA from 1 species
AUAUCAAUAAGCGGAGGAAAAGAAACCAACAGGGAUUGCCUUAGUAACGGCGAGUGAAGCGGCAAGAGCUCAAAUUUGAAAUCUGGUCUUUAUGGCCCGAAUUGUAAUUUGUAGAGGGUGCUUUGGUGUUGUCGGCGGUCUAAGUUCCUUGGAACAGGACAUCACAGAGGGUGAGAAUCCCGUUUGUGGUCGCCAGCCUUCGCCGUGUAAAGCCCCUUCGACGAGUCGAGUUGUUUGGGAAUGCAGCUCUAAAUGGGAGGUAAAUUUCUUCUAAAGCUAAAUACCGGCCAGAGACCGAUAGCGCACAAGUA